UACGUAGGGGGCAAGCGUUGUCCGGAAUCAUUGGGCGUAAAGCGCGUGUAGGCGGCCCGAUAAGUCCGCUGUGAAAGUCCAGGGCUCAACCCUGGGAUGCCGGUGGAUACUGUCGGGCUCGAGUCCGGAAGAGGAGUGUGGAAUUCCCGGUGUAGCGGUGGAAUGCGUAGAGAUCGGGAAGAACACCAGUGGCGAAGGCGACGUGCUGGGUUGCACCUGACGCUGAGAUGCGAAAGUGUGGGGAGCAAACGGG
rnacentral:rRNA from 1 species